CAGUCGCCACGGGAAUACGUAGGGUGCGAGCGUUAAUCGGAAUUACUGGGCGUAAAGCGUGCGCAGGCGGUUAUAUAAGACAGAUGUGAAAUCCCCGGGCUCAACCUGGGACCUGCAUUUGUGACUGUAUAGCUGGAGUACGGUAGAGGGGGAUGGAAUUCCGCGUGUAGCAGUGAAAUGCGUAGAUAUGCGGAGUAACACCGAUGGCGAAGGCAAUCCCCUGGACCUGUACUGACGCUCAUGCACGAAAGCGUGGGGAGCAAACAGGAUUAGAUACCCCAGUAGUCCCUGUCUCUUAUAC
rnacentral:rRNA from 1 species